rnacentral:rRNA from 1 species
CGUCUAUAUACGUAUAGCAUAUCAAUAAGCGGAGGAAAAGAAACUAACAAGGAUUCCCUAGUAACGGCGAGUGAAGCGGGAAGAGCUCAAAUUUGAAAUCUUCGAGGUUUUACCUUGACGAAUUGUAGUUUAAAGAAGUGUUUUCUGUUAGAGAGUAGGUAAAAGUUCUUUGGAAUAGGACAUCAUAGAGGGUGAGAAUCCCGUAUUUGACCAUUAUUUCCAGCUGUGUGAUACACUUUCAAAGAGUCGGAUUGUUUGGGAAAUGCAGUCCAAAAUGGGUGGUAAAUUUCAUCUAAAGCUAAAUACUGGCGAGAGACCGAUAGCGAACAAGUACCGUGAGGGAAAGAUGAAAAGAACUUUGAAAAGAGAGUUAAACAGUACGUGAAAUUGUCAAAAGGGAAGCGUUUGACACCAGUGUCGUUUUCUCGAAAAUCAAUUAAAAAUGAUGGGAUUUUGUGUUGUAUUGACUUUAUCAGCUUUCUGCACUUUUUUCCUAUCUUUUUUAAUGCACUUUUCGUUUAACAAGUCAACAUCAAUUUCUUUUGUUGUAAAAGGGUCAUUGGAAGGUGGCUUUCUUUUCGGAGAAAGUGUUUAUAGCCUUUGGCCUCUGCAAUCGGAGAGAUUGAGGUCUGCAGCGUAGAUCCUUCGGGGUUAGACACAUUUGUGCUAAGCUAUAGCCUUUCAUAGACAACUUGUUGACUAUGAUCAGUCAUGUAGCUUACUCGCUUAUGCUAUUUUACCUACGCUUAGGAUGUUGACGCGCGUGUGUGCGUG